ensembl:snRNA U1 U1 spliceosomal RNA
AUUUUCACCUGGCAGGGGAGAUACCAUGAUCACGAAGGUGGUUUUCCCAGGGCGAGGCUUAUCCAUUGCACUCCGGAUGUGCUGACCCCUGCGAUUUCCCCAAAUGUGGGAAACUCGACUGCAUAAUUUGUGGUAGUGGGGGACUGCGUUCGCGCUUUCCCCUG